GCUGGGCAUGGUGGUGCAUGCCUGUAGUCUCAGCUACUCGGGAGGCUGAGACAGGAGAAUUGCUUGAACCCGGGAGACAGAGGUUGCAGUGAGCCGAGAUCGUGCCACUGCACUCCAGCCCGGGUAACAGAGUGAGACUCCGUCUCCA
rnacentral:SRP_RNA from 1 species